GGAACUCGGCGCGCGCUCCUUGUGUGGCGCCGCUGGGGUGAGCCCAGCCAGCGCGGGGACCGUCACACAGAUCUGAAGAAGAGCUCAGUGAAUCAUCUCAAAAGCUUAUCCCUUCCUCCAAAAGAAGUUGGUUCAAUAAAAGAUAUGACCUCAUCCACCUUGUCUCUCUCAUGUGCAUAGUUAUUCAGAUCAAAAUGUGACACCUUCUCACAGAUUAGAGUGGCAAAUUUAAGCAAAUAGAAGAUGUGAUUUGGAGUUUUCUGUGUUUCCUACAACCGAAAGGGCUACACUUCUUCCUUUAAAUAAAGUCCUUAAAAUCAAAUACAAAAAUAGUGGGGGUAUUUUUUAUUUGAUUGACAGCUAGAGCUAUACAGUAUGUGUGAUACCACUCCUAAAUGACAAAUACCAUGAA